rnacentral:rRNA from 1 species
UACGUAGGGUGCAAGCGUUAAUCGGAAUUACUGGGCGUAAAGCGUGCGCAGGCGGUUUUGUAAGUCUGUCGUGAAAUCCCCGGGCUCAACCUGGGAAUGGCGAUGGAGACUGCAAGGCUGGAAUCCGGCAGAGGGGGGUAGAAUUCCACGUGUAGCAGUGAAAUGCGUAGAUAUGUGGAGGAACACCGAUGGCGAAGGCGACUUUCUGGUCUAUAACUGACACUGAGGCGCGAAAGCGUGGGGAGCAAACAGG